UUUUGUACCCGUUUUGGUGCUUUUCGCUGUCUCACACUAGAAAAGAGUGAUUUCGGCGAAUUAGAUAAUUUUCUUUUAUACGGUUUUCAAGAACGGAACAUCUAUGAAACACUUAUCACUAAAUUUAGCCGUGACCGCGGCUUUGUUCCUGUUGUUGCCCGAUGUAUCUGCUGUCGUCUCUAAACGUUGCCAAUCUGUUUGCAAUCGGUCGGACGGACAGGAGUUCUGUCAACGUUGUCGAAUGCGUGUGCCCAUGCGAUUCGGUAAGAGGGCGGAGCCCAUCAGAGGAGAUGUUGCAGGCCAGAAAAAAUUAAUGCAGCAGCUGACAGAAGAUGAUGAUGAAGACAGUCGAUUCGAAAUGCCAAACCAUCCUCAGACAGAGAAAGAGAAUAUGAGAGCAGAAGCACGUUUGUUGCUCAACUCCAUGAGGACCUUCAUAAGAGAUUUGGAGGAAUGGGAUCGGGAGCAAUAUGACCGCUAAACCAAUCAGAACAUUUCAAUUAAAUUGUUUGUUAAUAAGUUUACUUUGGAUUCUGUGUAAAUUCUGCCGUAUUACUAUUCUGUCUUGCAAAAUUUCAUUAUUUUGAAGAAAUGAAUAUUCAUUAAACAACACAAAAAUUAAAGAAA